rnacentral:rRNA from 1 species
CCGGCCAGGCCGUGGACUGUGGUUUAAUUCGAAGCAACGCGCAGAACCUUACCAGCUCUUGACAUUCGGGGUAUGGGCAUUGGAGACGAUGUCCUUCAGUUAGGCUGGCCCCAGAAGAGGUGCUGCAUGGCUGCCCUCAGCUCGUGUCGUGAGAUGUUGGGUUAAGUCCCGCAACGAGCGCAACCCUCGCCCUUAGUUGCCAGCAUUUAGUUGGGCACUCUAAGGGGACUGCCGGUGAUAAGCCGAGAGGAAGGUGGGGAUGACGUCAAGUCCUCAUGGCCCUUACGGGCUGGGCUACACACGUGCUACAAUGGUGGUGACAGUGGGCAGCGAGACAGCGAUGUCGAGCUAAUCUCCAAAAGCCAUCUCAGUUCGGAUUGCACUCUGCAACUCGAGUGCAUGAAGUUGGAAUCGCUAGUAAUCGCAGAUCAGCAUGCUGCGGUGAAUACGUUCCCGGGCCUUGUACACACCGCCCGUCACACCAUGGGAGUUGGUUU